UUGCGUUAGGGAUUGUAAUGGCAUCCUUUUUAUGCUAGAAUCGUUUCAGUAACUCUUGCAAAAAAUGAAAUUACUUGUUUAUAAAAAACAGAUGCUGAAAUAAAUUCAGCAUAAAAAGAUAUAAUGGAAAGCGCGACCUGAA
rnacentral:sRNA from 1 species